rnacentral:tRNA from 1 species
GACGAGGUGGCCGAGUGGUUAAGGCAAUAGAUUGCUAAUCUGUUACACACUGCAUACGUGGGUUCGAAUCCCACCCUCAUCA